rnacentral:rRNA from 1 species
AGCGAACGCUGGCGGCAGGCCUAACACAUGCAAGUCGAGCGGCCGUAGCAAUACGGCAGCGGCAGACGGGAGAGUAACACGUGGGAACGUGCCCUUUGGUUCGGAAUAACGCAGGGAAACUUGCGCUAAUACCGGAUAAGCCCUUACGGGGAAAGAUUUAUCGCCAAUGGAGCGGCCCGCGUCUGAUUAGCUAGUUGGUGAGGUAACGGCUCACCAAGGCUACGAUCAGUAGCUGAUCUGAGAGGAUGAUCAGCCUCACUGGGACUGAGACACGGCCCAGACUCCUACGGGAGGCAGCAGUGGGGAAUAUUGGACAAUGGGCGCAAGCCUGAUCCAGCAAUGCCGCGUGAGUGAGGAAGGCCUUCGGUU